UGCUGCUCCAGCAGCAGAGAAAUGAGUCUGGAAAAAGCAAUUCAGGUGCUGCUCCAGCAGCAGAGGAGAAAUGAGUCAGGAAAAAGCAAUUCAGGUGCUGCUCCAGCAGUAGAGGUGAAAUGAGUCUGGAAAAGUGAUUCAGGUGCUGCUCCAGCAGCAGAGGUGAAAUGAGUCUGGAAAAAGUAUUUCAGGUGCUGCUCCAGCAGCAGAGAAAUGAGUCAGGAAAAGUGGUUCAGGUGCUGCUCCAGCAGCAGAGGUGAGUGCAGGAGCUCAGAGAGGGAAGAGAGAACAAAGAAUGAGGAGAAGAAGAAGCCAAGAAGUGGCUGUAACAGAGUCUGUACGUGGUGUGAGCCAGAAGGUCACCGUGGCUGGGAACAAACCCUGCAGCUGGGCAGGCAGCAGGCCCCUUUUGGGGAGGUUUCCACUCAAUUUGGGCACAUGCAAACCCCCCUGAGGUCAUCAAGGACCUGCCCCACUGUGUGAAGCUGCUCUUUGGUGGCAGGACUGAGCCCUGGGCUCGUGUUCUGGUCCCUCAGCCCCCCGAUAUUUGAGGAUUUGAGGAUUUUAGGAAGCCCUUCCUUUGCUUGGAGGAGAAUUUAGGCCCUGGCUUGGAUGAGUAGCUGCCCCAGGGGUUGGUUAGAGGGGAGGGGCCCCUCCCAGACGUACAUGCUCUCACAGAAUUUGGUGAGGGUGGUGGGUUUGUCCUGGUUCCUCCGGUGCCGGAACCAGCGCUGGAUCUUCCGCACGUCCCAGUCCAGCUGCUUGGACAGGCCCUCCAACCUCUUUGCAUCUGGAGACUGAAGGAGAACCAAACACAAGGGGGUCACUUCUCCCACUCCCCCCCAACAGAAAUGAUGCACAGGUCCCAAAAAAACCCCACCAGGGAUGGGCCAAAAGAGAGCCCAAAAGCAGGAACCCGUCGCCACAAACCUUCACUCAGGUUCAACCUUCCUAAGCCACUAAUUAUUUAAUUAUUCAGCAUGGCUUUGGUGGGACAUUUCCUCACCUAUAUUUAUUUCAUCAGCUGACCAAGGAUGCCUUAAUUUUGGGGGAGGGAGGAGCUGUUAAAGUGUCCUGUCCUCCCUGUUAAAGCUGCACCUCCACUCAAACAACCCAGAACUGGGGGAGCUCAAAGCUGAAGAAGAAGUUUAAGGGGUUCCCACUCACAGCAAGGACAGGGAAGCUUUAAAGUAAGAGCUGGUUUAGCACAGCAGAUGUCUGUAUGUUCUAAAGGGCACGGUAGAAAUUGUGUUAUUUCUGUUAUCAAAGUUUAUAAAGGGAAAUAAAUGUGGAGACUGAAA